rnacentral:rRNA from 1 species
GCUCGUGUCGUGAGAUGUGGUUAAGUCCGCAACGAGCGCAGCCCCUGUCCUAUGUUGCCAGCAUUUAGUUGGGGACUCAUGGGAGACUGCCGGCGUCAAGCCGGAGGAAGGUGGGGAUGACGUCAAGUCAUCAUGCCCCUUAUGUCCUGGGCUGCACACGUGCUACAAUGGCCGGUACAAUGGGCUGCGAUACCGCGAGGUGGAGCGAAUCCCAUAAAACCGGCCCAGUUCGGAUCGAAGGCUGCAACUCGCCUUCGUGAAGUCGGAAUCGCUAGUAAUCGCAGGUCAGCAUACUGCGGUGAAUACGUUCCCGGGCCUU